UACAGAGGUCUCAAGCGUUGUUCGGAUUCAUUGGGCGUAAAGGGUGCGUAGGCGGCGCGGUAAGUCGGGUGUGAAAUCUCGGAGCUUAACUCCGAAACUGCAUUCGAUACUGCCGUGCUUGAGGACUGGAGAGGAGACUGGAAUUUACGGUGUAGCGGUGAAAUGCGUAGAUAUCGUAAGGAAGACCAGUGGCGAAGGCGGGUCUCUGGACAGUUCCUGACGCUGAGGCACGAAGGUGAGGGGAGCAAACGGG
rnacentral:rRNA from 1 species